GCUCACCACGUCGUAGCUGCGAGGCUCCACCGUCUUCCCUGCCAUCAGUUCGUCAGCGAUGUACCUGCGGGUCGACAAGUCACCGUCGAGAGGACUUACGGGUUAGUCGCAUCGAUGCGGUUACCUCGGCAACAUGCUGGAGAGAAGCUUGUCUGAGCGAAACUUCUCGGCGACCAGUUGAUUGGUUCUCUCCUGCACCACCACCUCCAGCCGUAGCUGUUGGCGGACAAGGUGGAGUACGAGCCUCCGCUGCCACUCGGACUCCUGGUGGUGCUCAGCGACACGGCGUGCACGUGCUGCAUGGGGAUCGCACAAAACAGACGCACACGACAUACUACAUUCGCGACACACUGCAGUCCCACGAAGGGUCGUACCGACGCCUCCCUGAUGAUUGUGAUGUCGCCGUAGUCGAUGAGCCACCAGCGCGAGUCCUCCAGGCUGGCCUGGAGGCGCAGCUUCUGAAGCACCAGGACGCCGAUGCCCAGCACGGCCAACACGCCGAUGACGGGGAAGGUGACCAGCAGAGCCAGCAGGACGAUGUCUGACGUGACACCACCGCACGGAAGGAAGAAGACGUUGUCGCCGCCCAUCAGGCCCUGGCGCUCGGCCUCCAGCAGCAGCGUCAGAGAGUCCUCCUUGUUGGCCAGGACCACGAUCACUGAGCCCCACAUGGACGUAAUUACAUUAGGACCUUAGCCCUUAAAUGAGCCCUCAUGCGUGCCACUAUAGCCUUUUUUUUUUAUUUUUAUUUUUUAUUGUAAUCAUUUUGGAUGUGUUACAACUUGUGGCAUGAAAUACAGUUGGAAUUAUUGGUUUUGAAAUGUUAAG